AGGGUGAAAAGGUGUGGUAAGAGCGCACCGGUUCUAUUGGUAACAAUGAACGCUGGAAAACCCCACUGGGAGCAAGACUAAGUAGAGAUGACAUUGUUGUAAAACUAAAAGCCAUCUUUGGCUAGUCAUCAGGGUUAGUUGCUUGAGCUUAAAAGUGAUUUUAAGCCUAGAGAAAUGAUAAGUUUUAAUGACAGAACCCGGCUUAUAGUUUGUCUAGCAAA
rnacentral:RNase_P_RNA from 1 species